rfam:Picea glauca, whole genome shotgun sequence.
AUGUAAAUUAAUAAAACACAACAUUAAUGCAUCAGAUCCCAUUAGAACUCCACAAUUAAGAACGCUCAAUCUAGAGUAGUACUGGGAUGGGUGACCACCUAGGAAGUCCUAAUGUUUUACAUG